CUCAUUCAUUCCCAUUCGCAUUCGUGGCGAGGCAUCGCGAGCGGCAGCAGCAAAUCAUCAGAACAGCGGCGCAGUUCACCUUUUUGGCAAGUCAUUGCGAAAGUGACCCAGUUCUGCAUCUGGCCAGCAUCAGCCGCAUCUCAUCCGAGCAUCCCACUGCAUCCUACCUAAGAUACCCGAAACAUAAGCAUCCACAGUUCAUUGAUAGCGCGUGCUGGCAGCUACUUCCUGGUAUCCUGGCAAUUUAUCCACGUUUAUGGUCCCGGAUAAAACGCAUUCUAAUUUCGGGCCAUAAACCAUAGACGCCUUUCCUAUUCCGCUUAACCCUUUCGCUUGGCCAAGUGUAUCUGCGAGUGCCUGUGUGUGUGUGUCCGUGUGCGAGUGUGUGCCAAUCCGUGAGAGUGUAUGUGUGUGAGCCAGGCUCAUUAUUGCGUGUCAUAAAAGGACGAUUGUCUCGUUUCUCAAUGAAUGUUUUGCUCAAUUAAGAUCUACCUGAGCGGGAGGAAAAGCGGGGAAUUUCCGCAUUACUUUUCCAUUUGUCAAUGCAGCAGUUCUUUCUCCUCUCACUUUUUUGUAGCCUUCAUCUAGGCGCUGAGACAUUGAAUUUUUGAAAUUAUCAAUGAAAUGUAAUGAAACAUUUCGCUUGUGGGAGAAAUCACAUUUUUAUGAUCGCCCCAUUUCCGAGUAAUUAUAAUGACUAAUGACUUAUGUCAUAUAGAGCCGUUUCCCCUUCACAAAAGCACUACUGAGUAAUAUUUUUAUCAUAUUCAAGAUUAUCUUCAAAUUGUUUGAAUAAUUGUUUACAAUAACCAUGGGUUAGAUAAGAUUGAGAGAUAAGCGAAACUGAAUCAGGAAAAAAUCUUUCGCUCAACAAUGGUAUUCAUAAUAUUUAACCUGUUUAACAUUGUUUGGCUUGCCACUCGGAUAUCUAUAUCCCAUCGUGAUGAUCAUUAAACAUCAAACACUUUCGGUGACUGAGCACAUAUGUACUCAAAUCCUUAUGUGCACUUCUAAUAACCGUAAUGUGCUUAAAUAUUUAAUAUUUUUAUUGUAUUUCACAGGCAAUUCAAGUGGCUUUGGCUCAUUAAUGUUUGCCGUGUGGGCGUUGGGUUGGUAGGUAUUUUUGUUGUUCAGAGCGCAUCAAAUGUGUGCUUUUUUGGCGUAGACUCUCUGCAAAUAGUAAUGCCAGGCAGUCCAAAAAUGUGUACUUAUUUACCUUUAGUCAUUUAUCUAUUUAUUUAUUUGCUUUAAAAGCGCGCCACUGUAGGUCGGAUUCACAUGGCGAUUUACAUUGCGAUUCGGAUUCAGAUUGGCUGCCUUUUUGAUACAGUCGGAUGUAUUCGGCUCUAAGCCAUGGUCAAACUUUUUAAUUAGUUUCAAUUGUUGGCGCCCAACGCAUCCCCAAAUGGUUAUUUAUGGAAAAUAUUUGCUUUACUACUUUUUUGCCGCUUUGUUUUGAUUUUCGUUGAUAUGGCUUUAAAAUGCUGCGCUUUCUGUUUGUUUUAAGCAUUUAUGUGACGCAUGCGCCGUGUGGCAAUGACUUUACAAAAUCAUAUACAUAUAUAUCAACCGGAGAAUUUGACCAACAUUUCUCAGAUAGAUGACGUCCGCAGCUGUAUCUGUUUCUAUAUCUAUAUCGGCGUGGUGGCAUAAUACGAAUAAUAUUUAUUUUUAUUGUUAUUAUUGGUUAUUGUUGAUUUAUUUGUUUGAACAAUAUUUUCGCACAAAUUAAAAUGCCCGGCCACCAUGGGACAUCGGACGAUGGACAUCCAUAUCAAUGUCGUUUAAACGGUUUUCGUUGUCUUAUUUGCUUUGUAUUUUUUGGCUUAACCCAAUUAUCGGGGCUCAUUUGUGAUUAUUUAACCAUUUGCAACAGCAGCAACAGAUGAUCGCAAAGUUCUAAUAUGCAGCGCAAACAAUUCGAGAUCUUGCAGUGUUUCAUAAAGUUUACUUAACGAUUCUGCUUGGGAUAAUUAAAUGGAUAUACUGUAUAGAGAAUCUUGGGAGUGUAUGCAAAUUAAAGAAGGGGUUGUCGCCAAUUAAAAAAAAUAUAUAUAUUUUGUUUAUGUCACUCAAUUCUAAAAAAAAAAAAAAAAAAAACUGCAGAUUAUCCGGUUUACGCUGGCAUUUAAAUCUUGUUUCGGCUCUUUUCAACUAAUUUGCAUUAACUUUUCCAUAAAAUUCAUUAAACAAAUUUUAGUUUGCAUUAUUGAAUUCUUCUUUUUUAUGUUUUUUGUUUUCGUAGAUAUACUCUUGUGUUUUACUUUUGUUGCUUUUGCUCUAAAUAGACCAAACAGCAAAUUGUUUGCCCAGCUAAGAUUAGAUAGAAAGUUUUAUUUUAGAUUUCAAUAUUCAAUUUAGAAUUGCCGCUUUUUAUGGGGCAUUUUGAGUUUGGGGUGUAUUUUGCUAUGGAUCUAUGAAUCGGUAUGCGUAUCCGUAUCUGUAUCUGCGGCUGCGUGUGUAUCUUGUUCUUUGUACUGCGUGUGCCGUAAUGAGCGUAACCAUAAAAGCGUCUUUUGUUUUACGACCGCAUUGCGCGCGUGUUUACCAUAGAAAACAAUGCCAAUUUUAUGGCUGCCCCGGCCACGCAGACAAUGGCCCAAAGAACCGCAUCCCGACAGUCCAGCAUCCAGCGAUAUAGGUAGUAUAUAGGGCUCCUUAUGUACCUGGAGCCAAAGGUGAUGGCGAAACUAGAGCGAAUGGGUCGAAAGGGUGUUGGCGAGCGGGACGCUGCAUUAAUUAGAACACUGCGGAUAUGUGCAUGUAUGUAUGGGUUUCAGGAUCGAAAUUACUUUCUUCGGGGCCAUAAAGCGGCUCUUAUCUAAAUUAGGAUGUUGCUUGUUUGCGGCUGUGUCUGCACAACAUCGCCGUUUUCACUAUUUGCGUAGGUGUUUCAUUUCCGUUUCACAAUUUAUCUGGCGAGUGUGUUUGCCGGCACACUCAGCCGAGUAGCGCACCUUUAGCCGCCUCAAGAUUUUCCUCUUUCCCUACUUUCACAUGUGAUUUUCCCUCGCGGCCUUAUCAGUUUUUGGCGCGUCAGCCGUCGUCAUCGUGAUUCACAUUUUUUCCUCCCUGGCCGCCGCUGUUUGCACUCGAAACAGUGACAGUAACCGAAAAAUGCACUUUUAAAAGGGCCCCCGUACUCGGGGUUCGAAUCGGACGAUGCAGUUUGAGAAUCGAGGGAAUUUGGCGCAUUUGGGGUGCGUGCCUUAUCGCUGGGGAGCCCAUGGGGCUACGACUCUAGAUAUCGCAUAAAUCAGAGCCUAGUCGCGCUUUUGCUUGAUUAUUUCCAUUUUAUCUAUUUGGCUGCGGGUGGCUAUAAAGUUUCUGGUUUUUAUCUUUGUGCAAACACGGGAAAGCAGUGAUAUUAAGGCCCUGGCGACCUUAUUUCCACCGGCCACCAAGAAAACAGCGAAUUCUAUUCUUUUAAUUAGGAAUCCGCAGAAGAGGUGGAACCCCUCAAAGGCAACCCAAACAGAGGAAUUUCAUUUUAAUUUGUAGGGUAAAUAGAAAAUAGACGCCAUCUUUUAAAUUAUGUAAGAAUUUUUUCAAAACCAAAAUAGAAGUUAAUAAGUGCCACUGUUUGACUUUAAUUAAUUAUUACUUAUAAUUAUUUAUUUCUGAACUCCAGUAAUCUUAUGCAAAUAUUUAAUAUAAGAAUACAUUGUAGUUAAAAUAGGUACCACUUUGGCCGAUUGUUCCUAAUUUGUUUAUCCUAAUUUCACAGCAAAUUUUUUAACCCAUGUUUAUCCGAUCUUAAGUAAUUUUCCAAACAAAUUAUAUUUUGGCUCGAAUCGCUCCAAUCGAUAUAGUUGAUUAGAACCCCGAGAGCCGGUUUUCUCCCACCAAACCAGUUUAUGCAACCCCAAACUUUAGCUGGGAUUUCGAGAGUGACCACCACCAUAUUGAUCAUGCGAAAGAAUGUUUUGUUCAGCUCCCGUCCGAAGAUACAGAUUUCUUCUAUCCACUCCUCUCAAAAUACCCAUGCAACUUAGCACCAGGCUGCUAAUUACAUAUUCGUUGCCUGAAAAAUUAACUUUCCAGCGGCGAACAUUGUAGCAUGCCAGUGGCGACAACGAGACUGCUGCCAGUUUUAUAAAGUCCCCGCUGUGUUUUUUAUCUACCUAUCUGACUAUCCGACUAUCUAACUAUCUAACAAUAUGUUAUGAACUGAGCCUGGGCCCAGAAGCCGCCCAUUUCAAUGACGAGCGUUGCGUUGCGGCAGCCGAAAAGCUGUCAAAUUGUCGAAAAAAUUAUUGUUAUCUUGCUGCGCGUUAUUGAGUGGCCGUGUUCACACGCAGCUCCAGCUCAAGAUACAGAUACAGCUACAAAGAUACAUUUGUAUCUACACAUGUCCGUACAAACAAUUCAAUUAAUUGUUGUAGAGCGGAAUAUGUCACAUCGGAGGGAUAUGGAUGGCUAGCUUUGGACUGGGCAUAUAGUUUUUUUUUUCGGGGGGGCUGUAAGCCCAAACUCUUCGGUAGUUUAUUGAUUUACAAGCUGGGGCCCCCGUAUCGCAGAUAGAUGCAGGUUUAUGGGUGGCGUCCACUUGGGGCUCCAGUAGUACAACCAUAACCAUAGCUAUCACUACAGCUGGAACUGGAACUGGAACCGACUUAUCGCAGUGGCGUUGUGAUUUUUUGAGUGUCGAAACGCCAAAGCAAAUAUGAUUGGAGUUUUAUUUACUCUGGCCCGUCCGAUUGGGUCUUAAUUACUUCCGAAAACAAUGACAACCGAUGACCAGUGGCGAUACGAGCCCCGUCGCCGAGCAUUAAUCAAUUUACAACGAGAUUUAAGCAAUGACAUCGGUAAAUAAUAAAAUAAAUACAAUUUGAAUACCGGUUUGCCAUUUUCUGGCUAUCAUUCAUAAACUUUUGUGCGGCCUGACAUGAAAAUUAGCUCUUCAGCCAAGGCAGACAGCGCAGCGAUCUCCGAGAUCUCGUAGAUCGGAGAUCGCAGAUCGGAGUCGUCUAAAGCUGGAACUCCGAUCGCUGAAGAGCUCCAGACUCCGGAGUUCGAGUUGGCGAUGGAGAUGGAGACCUGAAGAGCAUGGCUGUUGAUCACGGUGAUGACUGCGUAAAAACGAAAAGUAAAAACACCAAACUGGCACACAGCUUCGGAUGCUUGAGAUGUGUUGCCCGUUUGUGUUAAUCCCAUCAAGACCCAGCACAUUAUGAAGUAGCAACACCAGCAACAAUAGCACCAGCACUACCACAAACAUGGAAACAGCACAAACUGGAGCUGCACUGAAAGAAAUAUAGUUCAUUAGAACCACUUAAUACUAAUACUAAAUGUAUCUAUAUUUGAACCAUUACCUUACGCCGAAGUAGGAUAGCUGC
ensembl:ncRNA lncRNA:CR43126 long non-coding RNA:CR43126